AUUGAACGCUGGCGGCAGGCCUAACACAUGCAAGUCGAACGGUAACAGGAAGCAGCUUGCUGCUUUGCUGACGAGUGGCGGACGUGUGAGUAAUGUCUGUGAAACUGCCUGAUGGAUGGGGUUAACUACUGGAAACGGUAGCUAAUACCGCAUAACGUCGCAAGACCAAAGAGGGGGACCUUAGGGCCUCUUUCCAUCGGAUUGUCCCAGAUGGGAUUAGCUAGUAGGUGGGGUAACGGCUCACCUAGGCGACGAUCCCUAGCUGGUCUGAGAGGAUGACCAGCCACACUGGAACUGAGACACGGUCCAGACUCCUACGGGAGGCAGCAGUGGGGAAUAUUGCACAAUGGGCGCAAGCCUGAUGCAGCCAUGCCGCGUGUAUGAAGAAGGCCUUCGGGUUGUAAAGUACUUUCAGCGGGGAGGAAGGGAGUAAAGUUAAUACCUUUGCUCAUUGACGUUACCCGCAGAAGAAGCACCGGCUAACUCCGUG
rnacentral:rRNA from 1 species